CACGUAGGGUGCGAGCGUUGUCCGGAAUUAUUGGGCGUAAAGAGCUCGUAGGCGGUGUGUCGCGUCGGCCGUGAAAACUUGCAGCUUAACUGUGGGCGUGCGGUCGAUACGGGCAUCACUGGAGUUCGGCAGGGGAGACUGGAAUUCCUGGUGUAGCGGUGAAAUGCGCAGAUAUCAGGAGGAACACCGGUGGCGAAGGCGGGUCUCUGGGCCAAUACUGACGUGAGGAGCGAAAGCGUGGGGGAGCGAACAGG
rnacentral:rRNA from 1 species